rnacentral:rRNA from 1 species
UGGGGAAUAUUGGACAAUGGGCGAAAGCCUGAUCCAGCCAUGCCGCGUGUGUGAAGAAGGUCUUCGGAUUGUAAAGCACUUUAAGUUGGGAGGAAGGGCAGUAACCUAAUACGUUAUUGUUUUGACGUUACCGACAGAAUAAGCACCGGCUAACUCUGUGCCAGCAGCCGCGGUAAUACAGAGGGUGCAAGCGUUAAUCGGAAUUACUGGGCGUAAAGCGCGCGUAGGUGGUUUGUUAAGUUGGAUGUGAAAGCCCCGGGCUCAACCUGGGAACUGCAUCCAAAACUGGCAAGCUAGAGUAUGGUAGAGGGUGGUGGAAUUUCCUGUGUAGCGGUGAAAUGCGUAGAUAUAGGAAGGAACACCAGUGGCGAAGGCGACCACCUGGACUGAUACUGACACUGAGGUGCGAAAGCGUGGGGAGCAAACA